rfam:Actinophytocola sp. 11-183 contig117, whole genome shotgun sequence.
CUUCACCGAGCCCAGCAGCAGCGGCGUCGCCCGGUUCUGGCCGUAGGUGGCGAGCAGGGCCUGCGCCUC